rnacentral:rRNA from 1 species
CCUACGGGAGGCAGCAGUGGGGAAUAUUGCACAAUGGGGGAAACCCUGAUGCAGCGACGCCGCGUGAAGGAAGAAGUAUUUCGGUAUGUAAACUUCUAUCAGCAGGGAAGAAAAUGACGGUACCUGACUAUGAAGCCCCGGCUAACUACGUGCCAGCAGCCGCGGUAAUACGUAGGGGGCAAGCGUUAUCCGGAUUUACUGGGUGUAAAGGGAGCGUAGGCGGUUUCGCAAGUCAGAAGUGAAAGCCCGGGGCUCAACUCCGGGACUGCUUUUGAACCUGUUGAACUAGCUUGCAGGAGAGGUGAGUGGAAUGCCUAGUGUAGCGGUGACAUGCGUAGAUAUUAGGAGGAACACCAGUGGCGAAGGCGGCUUACUGGACUGUAAAUGACGCUGAGGCUCGAAAGCGUGGGGAGCAAACAGGAUUAGAUACCCGUGUAGUC